rnacentral:rRNA from 1 species
UACGAAGGGGGCUAGCGUUGUCCGGAAUCAUUGGGCGUAAAGCGCGUGUAGGCGGCCCGGUAAGUCCGCUGUGAAAGUCGGGGGCUCAACCCUCGGAUGCCGGUGGAUACUGUGAAGCUAGAGUACGGAAGAGGCGAGUGGAAUUCCUGGUGUAGCGGUGGAAUGCGCAGAUAUCAGGAGGAACACCAAUGGCGAAGGCAGCUCGCUGGGACGGUACUGACGCUGAGACGCGAAAGCGUGGGGAGCAAACAGG